GCUGUNCUCAGCUCGUGUUGUGAAAUGUUGGGUUAAGUCCCGCAACGAGCGCAACCCUUAUCCUUUGUUGCCAGCGGUUAGGCCGGGAACUCAAAGGAGACUGCCAGUGAUAAACUGGAGGAAGGUGGGGAUGACGUCAAGUCAUCAUGGCCCUUACGAGUAGGGCUACACACGUGCUACAAUGGCGCAUACAAAGAGAAGCGACCUCGCGAGAGCAAGCGGACCUCAUAAAGUGCGUCGUAGUCCGGAUUGGAGUCUGCAACUCGACUCCAUGAAGUCGGAAUCGCUAGUAAUCGUA
rnacentral:rRNA from 1 species